GGAAGGAAAUUUUUUCAAAAAAAAAUUUCCUUUCUAUAGUAUCGGUCUGCCUAUAUUGAAAAAGAACGAACAACACCUAAUUGAAUUCUGUUUAAGCUCAAUAGAAAAUAAGUAGUUAGUGCGACCAAGAAAGUAGUGCAGCAGAACUAUAUGUAUACUUUCAAACGUGGAUGACUUGAAGAAAAAGCUGAUGUUCAAAAAAACUUGAAAUGAUGAUAUUCAAUGUUAGCUUACAUCAAUGGAACAUAAUCUUAAACGUGUACGAAAAAAAAACAUCAGUAUUAUUACGCAUUAGGCCAAAGAAAAGUUUGUGUCCAUGUACCUAUGUACAAUAAAUUGAAUAUAAAUAAGGUGUAAUUUUGUAGCAGAGAUGCUGAAAAGUUCACAUAUAUAAAUCAACCGAAGGAAAUGAAAGUAUUUAUUGUAUAUAUUUAGCAAUUUAUUGAAUAGCAUUUUAUGCCACCGCUGAUUUUUUUACGUCGAUAACUCAAGAGGAAACAAUGGAUACAAUAUGUGGCCUUAAAAAGGCGUUCUGUACUGUACUAUUUUCGCAAAAAAUGGUUCGCAAACUAUCAUAGAAUCAAAGCGUUUGAAACAAAAAUAUUAUUAUAUAAAUAAUAAAAAACAAGAUUACAAUACAAGUCUUUCAAGAGUAUUCUGGAAUUAACGGAUGCAAUUUGAUAAAACUUGGUGUUGACUAAUAAGUAGGGCACACCCGCCAUUGUUCGGACCAUCGACAGAAUAACGUUCGUGGUUUUGAGAUUUUUCCAUCCAAGACAUAGAUUUGCUGAUGAAUAACAUCGCAAAGAUCUUGGUGUAUUGUCUUCAUACUUGGCCACAACAACCCUUCAAAUAGACCAGACUAAACUAAAUUAACUUGACCACCAUAUGAACAUUCAAGAAGUUCUGCCUACAUGUCAGAUUUAUGAAUGUGAACAGCAGGAUAUCGAUUUUAAGGAUGCUUUAGGGUCAAUGACAAUGAAAUCACAAAGAUAAAGGCUAAAAUGUGAGACUGUCAAUCUGACUAACCUUGAAGUGAACAAAUGGAAAAAAUGUUUCUUUCAAUAGCAUGGGCUUUUAAGGAAGAGGUAACAGAGGCGCUUAUAUGAUAGAACAGUAAAAGCAGGAGUGAUAAUGAAAGAUACAUGUAGAUGUGUCUUCAUGUCGGAAACACUAAAGAAAUGGAAAUAUUGUGGUUUUAUCAAACUUAAAAGAAAUUGGAAUACCAGGAGACUGCCUGCCCUUUGCAAUGUUGGAUAAAGAGUUCUUAGAUGUGAUGUCGAAAGCCUCAUGAAGCCCAUGACUUAAUCUAAUUAGAAAAAGAAAUGACAUUGAAGAGAAAACUAGUCACCAGUCUUUCACCAAGAACUAGAGAUAACUUUCCAAUAUUUGAAAUAUCAUAAUAUGAGCCGCGUCAUGACAAAACCAACAUAGUAGGUUUGCGACCAGCAUGGAUCCGAACAAGCCUGCGCCUCCGCGUAGUCUGAUCAGGAUCCAUGCUGUUCGCCAUCAGUUUCUACUUGUAAUAGAGUUUGUAAGCGAACAGCAUGGAUCCUGAUCAGACUGCGUGGAUGCGCAGGCUGGUCUAGAUCAAUGCUGGUCGCAAACCCAUUAUGUUGGUUUUGUCAUGGCGCGGCUCAUAUGUAUAGAACUUUAUUGAGCCACCAGUUUUUCACCAGGAAAAUAAGAUCACUUAACUAUUUUUAGCUCACCUGUCACAAAGUGACAGGGUGAGCUUUUUUGAUCGCUUUUCGUCUGGCGUCCGUCCGUAAACUUUUACUUUAAAUGACAUCUCCUCAUAAACCACUAAGCCAAUUUCAUCCAAACUUCACAGGAAUGUUUCUUUGGUGGUCACCUCUAAAUAUUGUUCAUAGAACGCUGGUUGCCAUGGCAACCAAAAGAAAAAAACUUAAAGUAUUUUCCUUUAAAGAACCCAAAGAGCUAGAGCUUAGACAAAGUAUCUUCUUUUAAAGGUAUGAAACAUCUUCUAGUGAGUGUCUACCAAGUUUGUUCAAAUAAAAGCCCUGGGGGUCAAAAUUGGCCCCCCCAGGGGUCAUUGAAUUUCCCUAUAUGCAUAUAGUAAAAACUUAAAAAUCUUCUUUGAAAAAACCAAAAUAGCUAGAGUUUAGAUAUUAAGCAUGAAACAUCUUCUGGUAAGUGUGUACAAGGUUUGUUCAAAUAAAAGCCCUGGGGUCAAAACUGGCCCCGCCCCAGGGGUUUCAUUGUUUUUAACUAUUUGUGUAAAGUAAAAACUUAAAAAAUCUUCUUUUAAAAAACCCAAUGAACUAGAGCCUAGAUGUUUAGCAUGAAACAUCUUAUGGUGUCGACAAGGUUUGUUCAAAUUUAAGCCCUUGUAUAAAAAUUGGCCAUGCCGGGGUGGGGGGUGGUGCAGAGGUCUUUGUUUUACAUUAUAUGUGUGUAGUAAAAACUUAACAUCAUGAAACAUCUUCUAACGGGUGUCUUACAAGUUUGGUCAAAUAAAAGCCCUGGGGUUUAAACUGGCCCCGCUCCAGGGGCCUAUAUAUACAUGUCCCUCUUGUUGAAAUAUGUAUGAACAAAUCUUUAUCAACUUCAAGCUUUUAUUGAAGGUAUUUGAAAUAACUUGGCACAAAUGAUUGUUAUAAUAAGACAAUGAGUCAUGUCAACAACCAGACCCCUACCUCCAGGGUCAAGGUCGCACUUGCUCAUUCAAGGUCAACAUUUUCUAUUUGAAAGUAUAUCUCGUGUCCGGUCUAUAACUUUCCUAUCUCUAAAGGGAUUUUGUAAAUACUUGCCGCAAUUUCUCACAAUAAUGAGAAGAUGUGUCAUGCUCAACAACAGGUCACCUGCCUCCAAUGUCAAGGUCACACUUGGAGGUCAAAUAUUAGCACAGCCUGUUACAGGGUAUAUUUCGUGUCCGGUCCAUAACUUUGUCAUUUAUUGAAGGAAUUUGAAAUAACUUGGCACAAAUGUUUGUUAUAAUAAGACGAUGAUGUGCAACAACCAGACCCCUACCUUCAGGGUCAAGGUCACACUUGCUCAUUCAAGGUCAACAUUGUCCAUUUGAGGGUAUAUCUCGUGUCCAGUCUAUACCUUUCUUAUCUUUGAAGGGAUUUUGUAAAUACUUGCCACAAUUGUUCACAACAAUGAGAUGUGUCAUGCGCAACAAUCGGUCACCAACCUACAAGGUCAAGGUCACACUUGGAGGUCUAAGAUUAACAUAGCCUGUUAUAGGGUAUUUUUUUGUCCGGUCCAUAACUUUUUUGUAUAUCAAAGGAUUUUGAAAAAACUUGGCACAAAUAUUCACUAUAAUAAGACAAUGUGUCAUGCGCAUCACCUGCAUCCCUACCUCCAAGGUAAGGGUCACAUUUCGAGGUAAAAAAUUAACAUUGUUUUUUUUAAAGGGUAUAUAUUGUGUCCAAUGUAGAACUUCUUCAUAGUUCAAGGGAUUUUGAAAUAACUUGGCACAAAUAGUCACAAUAAUAAGACGAUAUGUCAGUUACAACACUUGCACCCCUUCCUCCAAGGUCAAGGUCACACUUAGAGGUAUAAAGGUAACAAAGUCUGUUAUAUGGUAUAUUUUAUGCCCCGUCCAUAACUUCUUCAUAGAUGAAGGGAUUUGGAAAAUACUUGGCACAAGUAGUCACAAUGAUAAGAUGAUAUGUCAUGCACAGCACCUGCACCCCUACCUCCAAGGUCAAGGUCACACUAAGAGGUCAAAGCAGGGAUUUUUUCCAGGAUUUUGGGAACAUAACCCAUACCCAUGCAACUGGGAAUUUAGCGAUAUUUUGUUAAAAUUGGGAAAAAAUGCAUGACUGAAAGUUUGCAGUGAUUAAAUGUAUGCAAGCAAUCACUGCCUAGGAUGGCUUCUUCAAACAUUUAAACACUAUUACAGUAAAGAAGCCCUUAUUUUCAAAGAUUUUAGAAUUCUUUAUUCAACAUUUAUAUUUUUGUAACUUUCAAUUGGGAAUAUUUUCCUUUGGAUUGGGAAAAUAAUAUACUAUUUUCAAUUGGGAAUAUGUCCCAAUAACGGCUAUAAAAUAAGCCAAAAAAAUCCCUGCAAAGCUUAACAUGAUAUAUUUUGAAAUUCAGUAUUUCAUUUUAUUUCUUUAAUAAAUUUAUUGUUGCAUUUGCAGAUCUAGCAUUGAUCAUAAUUUUGGACUGAAAAUCCUUAGAUCCCUGCCUCAAUCUUUUGAAAUAGCACAAUUUUUUGCUUCAUAUAAUACUUCCCUGAGGCGGGGGACGUUGGUAUCUCUGUUACAAAUUCUUCUUUAUUUUACCAACAAGUGUUCACUUUCAAACUUUUGAUCAUUGUAUUUUUUGUACUACCUUUUGUAUAAUGUUGUAUUUUAUUAAUGUUCUUAUUUUAAGAUUAGCAUGGCCAACUCAUGAAAGUCCAAAUGAUGGUCAACUUUUUUAUGUUUUUUUUGUUGUUGUUUUUUUUUUAACAUUAUUUACUUUAUUUUUACAGUGUUCCUCUGAAUCAUACAUUCUGUUUUAGUUAAACAUGCACUUCUUGUUACUUAUUUUCCCAUACUUCAUAUUACAUUGAUCACGGUUUGAUGUGAUGGCUCAUAAAAUUAUAAAAAUAUCAUUUCUUUGUACUUUACCUAGUAAAAUAUGAAACAGAAAUGCUCUUGUAAGCUAACCUGUUCUAUGUUUAUAUGCCCAUGCCAUUUAAAGAAUGGUGACAGGGCAUUAAGUGUUACCCUGUCUGUCAGUCCGGUCAGUAUGUGAAAUUUCCACUGAAAUUUUAGUUUCCAACCAAUAAGAUUUGUACACCUUUUAAGGAUUCAAUUUAUAACUGGUAUAUUCAACAAUAUAUCAAAACACUGGUCAAGUAUGAUUUCAGUUACAUUCCACAAAAUUUAUACAACAUUAUGCCUUCCUUACCAAAUCAUAUGCAAAAAUUGAUUUAUAACUGAUAAUAUUUGAAUGCUUUUGAAAUCUAUAAAGAUUUUUCAUAUAGUUCUGGACAAAAUUUAACAGUCUUUAGUGAGUUGGAGUAGUAUGAAAAAUCAGGUGUCUGUAAAUCAAGGUCACUACUUUGGAUCAAAAGUCAAAUAAUAACUUAAAACGUGAGAGUAUAUUUCUAUAUACAUGGCUGGAUUUACAUAACAUUUAUCACAAAUGUUCACUUACGUAUACAUCUUUCUCCCCAAUCUGAAGCUUUAAGGUUCAGUUCUGAAUAAUGGCAACAGGCUUGAUAUAUGCUGCCAGUGGGCUUGUCUAAUUAUGUACAUAUUUUGAUUACCCACUCAAUAUAAGCAUUGUUCUUAACGCAGGCAUUCAAGUCCUAUGGGCACAUUUCUACUUUUGACUAUAUUUUGUUGUAUAAUGUAAGUCUUGUAUGUAAAAAAUCCUUAAAACAGCACCUCCUAUAUUACUGGCCAUUUGCAUUAAAGCUUCUUUCAUUCAGAUUGUUAUAACUUGUGUCACGUCAAUAUGUACCAAUAAUUUAAAGGGACUCAGUCCAUUGAGGUUUAAAAGCCUAAAACAUAACAUUUGAAUUUCUACAGAAAUGAGCCGGGGCACUUGAUACAGAAAUACAUGCACAGAUAGUGAAGAAAUAUACUUUGAAAUAAAUUGAAAAUCAAUUUUUAGCUCGACUUUUCUAUGAAAAGGGGAGCUAUCCUACUCGCCCCGGCGUCGGCGUCGGCAUUGGCGUCACACCUUGGUUAAGUUUUUCGUACCACCCCACUUUAUUUCAGAAGUAUUACAAGUAUGGCUUUGAAACUUACCAUACUUGUUCACCAUCAUAACCUCCAUCUACAGACAAGAGUACAUAACUCUGUCAAGGUUUUUGACAGAAUUAUGGCCCUUUUUUGACUUAGAAAGUGUAUUGAGCUUGGUUAAGUUUUUUGUACCACCUCACUUUAUUUCAAAACCAUUGGAGGUAUUGCUUUGAAACUGACCAUACUUGUUUACCAUCACGACCUUCAUCAACAGACAAGAGGACAUAACUCUGUCAAGGUUUUUGACAGAAUUAUGCCCCUUUUUGACUUAGAAAAUACAUUGAAUAUGGGUAAAAUCCACUUAUUGCCUUAACCCUUUGAGAUAUUGCUUUGAAACUUUUAAUGCUAUUUCACAUCAUUACCCCCAUCUGUACGCAAGAGAAGGUAACUCUGUCAAGGAUUUGUUUUAAAAAUUAAGGCCUUUUAUCGACUUAGAAUCUUGGUUAAGUUUUUAGUACCAGUCCACUUUUUGACUGAACUGUUUGAGAUAUUAAUUUGAAAGUUGGAAUACUUGUUUACAAUCAUGAUUCCCAAACAUGUCCAGGAGAAGGUAAUUCUGUCAAAGAUUUUAUUUGAAUUAUGGCCCUUAACUGUCAAUGUUUUGUAUUAUAGGCAAGCACUAAAAAACUUAAAAAAUCUAAAAAAUUCAUUCCUAUCCACUUGUUCACUUUACCAUAAAUUAUGUCAUAUAAACAUUGCUGUAAUAUUCAAGGGUAUCAAACAACUAGUUAUUUUUCUCUUUUUGUACUUGAAAUUAAAAUCAGUAGUAUAUGCAUAUUUCACAUUUUAUCUCGCCUAUUUGAUUGGUGCACAAUUCAGUAAAAUAAUUCUUCACUAAAUAUCUUAAUGCUCAUGGCCAUUGUUCACUUUAAAAAUACAGAGAUUCUUGUAUUGCCUUUUACUGCAAAAACUUUUUUUAUUGGCAAGCAAUAAAAAAGUCGAGCGCGCUGUCUUACGGACAGCUCUUGUUUUAUGCUUUUCUCAGCCUGAUUUGCGUGAAAUGUGUUUAAACGCUUUCAUUUUGGGUCACUUUUUUACAAUUUGAAUAAUUAUUCUUGAAAAAGGAAGUGCGCAAAUGAUCUGAAAUUUUUCUCAAAGAUUAGUGGUCAAAACAUACAUAAAGUGGUACAUUAAUCUAGAAAAAUAAAUUUCAGUCUCAUCAUGUCAAAAAACCUCAGUGGAGUUCCUUUUACACAUUUUAUCUGACAAACUAAAUUUCAAUUUCUCCAUAUAUUUAAUCAUUUAUUUUUUAUAUCACAUAUAUUUUUACUUUUAUGCAAGUUUUGACAAUAAAAGUUUAUUUUAAA